GAUGUACUCCAUUGCCUUAAUGAGCCCAUUAAGGAAACCUAGAAUAAGAGGUCUAUCUUCAGUCAAAAUCAGGAAAGAGAAAAGGUGAUCUCCCUUGAGAUGCUCUUGUGUAAAGCUAACAGACCUUUCUUAGCCUUUUGACUGUGAAGAUAACUUUGAAAACAGAAACCAAACAUCAGCCAAAACAGGCUUACCUUCCACAUCUGCAAGCAGCCUGAAAAAAAGCUCCGAGAAUGUUAUGAAUGAGUUCCAACAGCUUUGAAAGCAAGUACUAUGGAAGGAAAAACUGCAAAGAAAAAGAGGUUCCCCAUCUUUUCAGGAAAAGAAUAGCAAAAAGAGACAGGACCGGGAAUUAAGAACCACUAAACAAACAGCAGCUGUUGAACUUAUCUUAGCAGCAAGAUGUGUCUGCUACUGAGCUGAAGAAAUUGGAGCUGGUGGCCACGCUGUGCAUAGAUGAACUGAGAAAGGAUGAGAAUAUCCCUUCCAGAGCUCCCUUUUCUUCCUACUGAGCAUUCAGAGGACGGAGGAAACCUGAGACCCAACUGGGCACACCUGGAGUGGACUAAACGGAGGAAUACAGGUGGUGGUAUCCAAAGCACUGCUUAUAAAUCAGGCCCAGCUCUCUUCUGGCACCAAAACAAUGCACCACUCACCAUAGAUAUCACAGAUCUUCAUAAUUUGAUCCUCUCUCUUCUUCCUGACAAACCAGGACAAAAAAGUAAAAGUAUCAAUUUUUUCCAACCCCUAAAAAUAAUCUUUUAAAAAAGAUUUAGGUCAAUUGAAACUUUUUGUGAUCAUUUUGAUUUUCUUCCUCUUUAGCUUUUUUUUAGGCAAAAUUUUCUAAAAUGUUGAAACAGUUAUUUUGACUUGAAAAAUUGAAACUUUCCAGUUUGAAAAUGUCACAACCGGAUCUUGAUAUCAAUUUUAAACUAUCUUUUUUUCCAAAAUAUUUCAGGGCAGGAGAUUGGACAAAACUGCCUCUGUUUCAUGAAUAGUUUUGGUUUAGAUUAAUCAGCAAAAAAAAGUUUGUAAAAUUUCUAACCAGCUCUAUUCACAAUCAACAUGGAUUCAGGCACUCCACUUUGAAAUGUUGGCCUUUGUAUGUACUAUGAGCCCAGGGCCGCAGGUGAUGUAAAUUGGCAUAGCUUUGUAGUUGAGAAUUGAGUCCUGUACAUUUGAGAGUUUUCCAUUUGUUGUAAGUUACUGGGGCGGGGGGGAGAACUUCUAUAUUAAUUGAAUCAAAAAAUCUAUGUUCAAGAACAUUAAAGUUGCAAAGCCAAGCACUCAAGAGACACAAAAUGCCAGAAAUAAGGUUGCCCAUGAAACCUUAGUUCAGCCCUUUGGUACGUACCUAUUAUGAUACAGUCUUAUUACAGGAUCACAUUCUACUUUUUGCACAGACCCCCUGCCUCAAAAUAUGCUACUGGAUGUUAUAAAAACCUGUAAAUGAAAUAGAACUAGAAUAAUCUCUGGAUCAGUGGUGGGCAACCUGCGGCCCAUUGGCCGCACAUGGCCUGUCAGGGGAAUCCACUGGUGGGCCGCAAGCCUGUUUGUUUACACUGACCAUCUGCAGGCACGGCCGCCCGCAGCUCCCAGUGGCCGUGGAUUACUCUGACUGGCCGCAGGUCGCCCAGCACUGCUCUAGAUAUUGACCCUAGCAGUUGAGUAUUUGAGCAGGUAACCUAACAAAAUUUAAUCCUUUUGUAACUGGUGAAGUUGGUUAUUUAAAUUGGAUUUUUUUCUGUUUGUUUCAACAGUCAUUAACGAGCAUUAUUUUAAUUAUAUUUUUGUAUUAGGGUUUUCCCCUGUGGUAUCCACAUUCUUCUGUUCCCAUAAUGCUGAAUGGUUCUUACAUGCUUCAUUCAAUGCAGAGAUGCCCAUGUACAAUUGUGCAACUCCUUUGCACCACACCAGUGGCACAAAGCAGCCAAAAAGCUGGUGGCUCACCCCAGCGUAGAAACAAAAUUCAAUGACCUAUAGUAAGCAUAAUGUAGCUCUUAGGCCAACCAUAUCUAGUCUGAGGCCAGAGCCAGGAAAAAAGAGUGCAGCUGGGUGUUUUUAUGAGCCACCAGUCUAUCAUGUUGACCUCUUGGGGUUACUGUCAGCUGAAGUAAUUCAGAAUAGCUUCACCAGGUUUUGGCUGGUAAUAGAGCCACCAUUGUACUAUGCCCUCCCUGAACUGUGAACUCCUUACCCAUAGCUGUGGAUUUAUGCAAGUACGUUAUUUUACUGGAAUGCCUUGUGUUUCUCAGUGCUUUGUGUAUUGCAUGUUUUUUAUGAAUCAUUCUACUGAUCUUUGCAAAAACUGCUUAAGGCAUAAUUUUUUUUUAAAAAAUUGAAGACUCCUGAUUAAAAAUCAGCAUAUAGAAAUAUCAAGCCCUAAGCGACAUGUUCCAGGUCCCACAGGAAGUCAAUGGUAGAGUUAGGAACUGAACCUACAUCUCCUGAUACACAGUCCUGUGCCGUAACCACAAGUCCUUCCUUCCACUUCAUAAGUUGGCUAUUUACACGUCAAAUCUCUCUAAUUUACAAAGCUCUGGUGGCUAUCCAUCAUCAUGGUAACAGCACUCAGGGUAAGGUAACUAUUUUUAUUUUUCUUUCAUAAUUAAAAUUUUUAAAUAGAAUGCUUUUUUUAAAUUAUAGAAGUGUUACUUUGGACAUAUAAAACUGUGUCCAAAAUAAACACGGUGCUAUUGUAAGUCCUCGAAACACCUGAGAAGUGUGUACAAUGGAAAAUGUAUUCACUUCCUAAUUGGGAGAUAGAAGGCACUUAUGAUUAGUUGUCUGUCGGUUUUAAAAUUUGGAGUGUUUGAAGAUUCAAAGAGCUACACUGUGGUUUUUUGUUUGUGGGGUUUUUGUUUUGUUUUGUUUUUUAAAUCAUGGGAUGGGCAGGCGUUUCUUUAAAUCUCACUAACUGCCAUUUUAAGUGAAGUUACCUUCAGCAUGUCAGUACUAUGAGUUGUGGCCAAUAAUAAUUCCAUCGUGUCCAAAUUCUUAAUAUGUCAAAUGCAAGAUUUACAACCUCUUGCUUCUUUUUACAAUAAAAUCCACAGUAUAUGUGUCAGCAAGUCUGAUGCAAGAGUCUAGGAAUCCUGAUUUAAUUUCUCCUCCUUUAAAUUUUGUGUUGAAACAUUCUGUAGUUUGACCUAUGGAUAAAGAGGAAAAAAAUGUGCAUUUUUUGGUAUGGAUGCUCCAUAUUGAGAAGGGGCAAACUGCAUAGAAGUGACUCAGAAAGCCGAAUAGCCAAGAUCAGUGUGGUCAGGGGAUAGACUUGUGAAGAAAAGAUGCUCUGUUUGCUCACUGGGAACAUUAACUUUACACUAUUAGAUAGGACCGUGCCUGUGUUGCAGGAUUUUUCUCUAGCAGAGCACAGUAUGUACUGAAAAUUUCUCUGAGCUUGCAGUAAGUGAAUGAAAGGGAAACUGUUCCCAGAAAAGACAAAGUCGUUCAAUCAGACUCAAAGCAACUCGAUCCGAAGACCACCCCAGAGGCACUUCCAUCGCUGUCAACCACAGACACAGCCAAGGAACCAGCUUGUGCCAAAUGACCUGAAUAUAAUCAUUCCAUUGUUUGACUUCCUCUUGGAAGUGGUGGUUUCCAAUUAUCUCCUACACGUGAUUCUGGAAGCUGAUUUGCAGUUGGCUGUGAAAGGAAUGUGAACUCAGAGGAAGGUUGCAGUUUCAGUCCCCACUGGUGUUCACCUAUUGUUACACUAUGUAUUUUUGUCUACAUUUCCUGCAUGUACUAAAUAACAAAUCACUAUAUUAGUAUUGAUUAACCUUAAAAAGACAAGUUAGAUAUUUUAGAGGCAUCAACCAUACAAUAUAACAUAGAAAGAUAGAUCCACUGAAUGGUGUAAUGAACAUUGUGCACACAACUGUAAAUAUGAACGCUUUAAACCAAAAUUCACAAAAGAGAAAAGGGACCUAACAGCAAAGAGGUCAGCUGGGGUGAAAUAACUAAUUAACAACCUCUUCAUGUCUUGAGGGAGCAGAGAUCAUGUCUCAUGUGUCACUAUGGAAAGUUACCUGUUGCUGACUACAGGUGUAAUAAGUGGGUGCAACUGAAUCAGUGCUGAACAUGUUUUAACUAAAUACAGACUGUUCAGAGGCCAGGGGGUGGUGCUGAACACAGUUUAUCCGUGGCUAUUUAUGUAGUCAAACAGUUUUCAGCAAUCAGUUCAGCUGUCCCUAUGACUGACGCUCUGCUUUCAGCAAUGCAUGAUUUUCAUAAUAGAGACAAACCUUGUCUGCAAGGCACCAGGUGCAUCAAUGAUGCUGGGCACCAGUGUGUCUUGAAAUAUUUAUUCUGCUUUCAGGGCUCUUACCAGCACAAGAAGUGCAGGGAACCUCACUUGAAACUGUAGAAUCUUUCAAAAUGGAAAAGCUAUUUAAUUGUCAUGCCUGUAUAAUUAAAACUAAUUUAAUAAUGCUGCUGCCACAAUAGGAACACAAAUCGCUUCAUAUAUGUCAGUAAUCACUGAAAGCAUUAGGUUAAUUGCAUGGUUUUCAGUCUCCCUGCUCUGAAGGAAUCUCAACUAAUGAUACCUCCUUUGUGCUUCAAAUUGUUUAUUUUU